GAUGAACGCUGGCGGCGUGCCUAAUACAUGCAAGUCGAGCGAACGGACGAGAAGCUUGCUUCUCUGAUGUUAGCGGCGGACGGGUGAGUAACACGUGGAUAACCUACCUAUAAGACUGGGAUAACUUCGGGAAACCGGAGCUAAUACCGGAUGAUAUUUUUAACCGCAUGGUUCAAAAGUGAAAGACGGUCUUGCUUUCACUUAUAGAUGGAUCCGCGCUGCAUUAGCUAGUUGGUAAGGUAACGGCUUACCAAGGCAACGAUGCAUAGCCGACCUGAGAGGGUGAUCGGCCACACUGGAACUGAGACACGGUCCAGACUCCUACGGGAGGCAGCAGUAGGGAAUCUUCCGCAAUGGGCGAAAGCCUGACGGAGCAACGCCGCGUGAGUGAUGAAGGUCUUCGGAUCGUAAAACUCUGUUAUUAGGGAAGAACAUAUGUGUAAGUAACUGUGCACAUCUUGACGGUACCUAAUCAGAAAGCCACGGCUAACUACGUG
rnacentral:rRNA from 1 species